ACGCUCGACACCUACGGGAGGCAGCAGUGGGGAAUAUUGCACAAUGGGGGAAACCCUGAUGCAGCGACGCCGCGUGAGCGAAGAAGUAUCUCGGUAUGUAAAGCUCUAUCAGCAGGGAAGAAGAUGACGGUACCUGACUAAGAAGCACCGGCUAAAUACGUGCCAGUAGCCGCGGUAAUCUGAGCGGGCUGGCAAGGC
rnacentral:rRNA from 1 species